rnacentral:rRNA from 1 species
UACGAGGGGAGCAAGCGUUGUUCGGAUUUACUGGGCGUAAAGGGCGCGUAGGCGGCUCUACAAGUCACUUGUGAAAUCUCCGGGCUUAACUCGGAACGGGCAAGUGAUACUGUCGAGCUAGAGUACAGAAGGGGCAACUGGAAUUCUCGGUGUAGCGGUGAAAUGCGUAGAUAUCGAGAGGAACACCUGCGGCGAGGGCGGGUUGCUGGGCUGAUACUGACGCUGAGGCGCGAAAGCCAGGGGAGCGAACGGG